GAUGAAGAACGUAGCGAAAUGCGAAAAGUAAUGUGAAUUGCAGAAUUCAGUGAAUCAUCGAAUCUUUGAACGCACAUUGCGCCCGCCAGUAUUCUGGCGGGCAUGCCUGCCUGAGCGUCAUUUCAACCCUCAUGCCCCUAGGGCGUGGUGUUGGGGAUCGGCCAGCGCCCGCGAGGGACGGCCGGCCCCUAAAUCUAGUGGCGGACCCGUCGUGGCCUCCCCUGCGAAGUAGUGAUAUUCCGCAUAGGAGAGCGACGAGCCCCUGCCGUUAAACCCCCAACUUUCUAAGGUUGACCUCAGAUCAGGUAGGAAUACCCGCUGAACUUAAGCAUAUCAAUAAGCGGAGGA
rnacentral:misc_RNA from 1 species